AAAAAAAUUCGACGAAAAAUUCCAAUAUUACUAUCGUAAUCCUGGACUAUACUUUUAUUAUCUGUAACAUUCAAAUAUAUGAUACGAAAAUUUACAGUUUUUAAAAGAUUUUUUACUAUUCACUAUCGUAAUUUCAUUAAGAGUUUAUUGUAAUCAAUUCAAUAAGAAAUAUUACAAUGUUACUAUCGUAAAUAGUAAAAGAAUAAAAAAUAAGAUUUAAUUAUACUAUUUAUUCUUUUAUUCUUCCUUUUAAUUUACAGUGCUGCCUCUAUGUUUUUACAAUACAAGCUACAAAAAUUACGAUAGUUGGAUUGUAAAUUUUCUGAAAUGGUAUAGUAUAUGCCAUCUGAAGCGUUUACGUAUGAAAGACAAGUGUUGUCACAAACCAUGAUGUGAUGCUUGUAUGAGUGUAUAUAUAUAUAUAUAUAAAUACAAAUGAUGACAUCUACUUUGUCUGUAUUAUUUGUGGUUCAACUAUAUAUAUUUAUAAAUCAGUUCAUCUUUAUCCACAGUGUAGUGCAGAAAUAGAGGUUAUUAUUCAUGACGUUUUUCGGACAAUUGUAAAUAAGAAAUUUAAAAUAAAAACUGUACUUUCGUCAUUACAAACCUACAUAGAUUGUGGAAUAUAAUAAUUUGGUGGUGAUAAUCUUCAUUUGUCGACAAUGAAUAAUUUUACCCGGCUUUGCGAGAGGUAAAACAUUUCAAUAACCUCAAAUUAUGGACAUUCAACAUUUCUUUAUGAUACUGAAGUUAGCAGACGCCUAAUAAUUUUUGGAUUUUUUUAAAAAUGAUAAAUUAUAGAAAAAAAGUAUUCGAAAAAAUUGCACCUAUGGUUUUUUUAAUUUUCUACAUGUGCGUAUUUUGAAUACAAAUAAAUGAGUUAUUUAUUCAUAAAUUUUAUAUAUACCAAAAAAAUAUGUUUGAAAAAAUAUUAAAUAAAUGUUUUAUUAUUACUACUUCAA